ensembl:snoRNA
UCUGCUCCUAGAAGGGUGUCUGGUAUAGCUGCUGUGUCACACAAGCAUCAAUAGGUGGCAAAGAAGAAAGUCAAUGGCUACCUUCAGUGUUCUGACCUAUGACUAGUAACCUAAGCCU